AAGCUAUUAGGCUGGUGCAAAAGUAACUGCAAUUUUUGCCAUUGAAAGUAAUGGCAAUAACCGCAAUUACUUUUGCACCAACCUAAUA
ensembl:miRNA